rnacentral:lncRNA from 1 species
GAUAUAGAGUAAAAUAGUAAUAGUAAGAUAGUAAUAAACAAGCUUGUAUUUAUUUCAUGUUAACAAUUUGGAAGAAAUAUACUUACAAUUAAAACCGUAAAACCGACCUCUAUUUACAUUCUAAGGGUCGGCUUUUUUGUUUUUUUUUUUUCGAACUUUUUGCCCUCUAUACAUCAAAUUCUCUAGUUUGUCGAUGUUAUAUUAGAUACUCGUAAAACAUAAAGAAAAGGGCAUCUGGCGAAUCUUUAGGUAGAUUAUUGAUGUAUAAAUAGAAACGAACCAAAUCCUCUUUUGAAACGAGAUCGGCAUCUAUGACGUCAUCGUUGCAUGUGAGAACCCAUAAAUCUCGUGACUUUACUCUCUUUAUAUUACCCCGACAAAACGGGCAUGACGCUUGUCUCGAGUUCCUGCAAAUAUGGAAAAAGAUGUAUAAGAUUAGUGUGCUGUUGUACUCCAUGUUUAAAGAACCGGACUGAACGUCGAACCGGUCUCCUUACUAGUUCAGUGGUAUGACACUGGUCGAACCGGACGUAAGAACCAGAUGGUAUUGAGUUAAUUACUGUUUUCGUACUUGUGGUUUGUCAAAAAUCACUAUUUCAGUCCAUUAGUUUAAAAAUUGCGAUUUCAGUCCCUGUGGUUUCACUUUCGUAACCAUUUC